rnacentral:misc_RNA from 1 species
UACAGAGGCCCCGAGCGUUAUCCGGAAUCAUUGGGCGUAAAGCGUCCGCAGGUGGGAUAGCACGUCUGCUGUGAAAUCUUUAAGGCUCAACCUUAAAGCUCGCGGUGGAUACGGCUAUUCUUGAGGUAUGGAGAGGUAAGUGGAACUCCUGGUGGAGCGGUGAAAUGCGUUGAUAUCAGGGGGAACACCAAUUGCGAAGGCAGCUUACUGGCCAUGUCCUGACACUCAUGGACGACAGCGUGGGGAGCGAAGCGG